rnacentral:rRNA from 1 species
UCAGUAACACGUAGUCAACAUGCCCAGGGGACGUGGAUAACCUCGGGAAACUGAGGAUAAACCGCGAUAAGUCACUACUUCUGGAAUGGGUAAUGACUCAAAUCUAUAUGGCCCUGGAUUGGACUGCGGCCGAUCAGGCUGUUGGUGAGGUAAUGGCCCACCAAACCUGUAACCGGUACGGGCUCUGAGAGGAGGAGCCCGGAGAUGGGCACUGAGACAAGGGCCCAGGGCCCUAUGGGGCGCAGCAGGCGCGAAACCUCUGCAAUAGGCGAAAGCUUGACAGGGUUACUCUGAGUGAUUUCCGUUAAGGAGAUCUUUUGGCACCUCUAAAAAUGGUGCAGAAUAAGGGGUGGGCAAGUCUGGUGCCAGC